UAAUACGUAGGUGGCAAGCGUUGUCCGGAAUUAUUGGGCGUAAAGCGCGCGCAGGCGGUCCUUUAAGUCUGAUGUGAAAGCCCACGGCUCAACCGUGGAGGGUCAUUGGAAACUGGGGGACUUGAGUGCAGAAGAGGAAAGUGGAAUUCCAAGUGUAGCGGUGAAAUGCGUAGAGAUUUGGAGGAACACCAGUGGCGAAGGCGACUUUCUGGUCUGUAACUGACGCUGAGGCGCGAAAGCGUGGGGAGCAAACAGGAUUAGAUACCCUGGUAGUCCACGCCGUAAACGAUGAGUGCUAAGUGUUAGGGGGUUUCCGCCCCUUAGUGCUGCAGCUAACGCAUUAAGCACUCCGCCUGGGGAGUACGGUCGCAAGACUGAAACUCAAAUGAAUUGACGG
rnacentral:rRNA from 1 species